rnacentral:rRNA from 1 species
UACGGAGGAUGCGAGCGUUAUCCGGAUUUAUUGGGUUUAAAGGGUGCGUAGGCGGGCUUUUAAGUCAGCGGUAAAAAUUCGGGGCUCAACCCCGUCCGGCCGUUGAAACUGGGGAUCUCGAGUGGGCGAGAAGAAGGCGGAAUGCGUGGUGUAGCGGUGAAAUGCAUAGAUAUCACGCAGAACCCCGAUUGCGAAGGCAGCCUUCCGGCGCCCUACUGACGCUGAGGCACGAAAGUGCGGGGAUCGAACAGG